GCGGACGGGUUAGUAACGCGUGGGAACGUACCCAGAUCUAAGGAAUAGCCACUGGAAACGGUGAGUAAUACCUUAUACGCCCUUCGGGGGAAAGAUUUAUCGGAUUUGGAUCGGCCCGCGUUAGAUUAGAUAGUUGGUGGGGUAACGGCCUACCAAGUCUACGAUCUAUAGCUGGUUUUAGAGGAUGAUCAGCAACACUGGGACUGAGACACGGCCCAGACUCCUACGGGAGGCAGCAGUGGGGAAUCUUGGACAAUGGGCGCAAGCCUGAUCCAGCCAUGCCGCGUGAGUGAUGAAGGCCUUAGGGUCGUAAAGCUCUUU
rnacentral:rRNA from 1 species